GUGUUCCACCUGUGCUGGUUGCCAUCACGUUAGUGGGAAGGUUUUUUGCCUGCCCAGGUGCUCUUUAAGAGUAGCUGGCCCAGUCCUCUUGAGAGAUGUAGAGGGACCCUCCCUAUCUGAUUUCUAGAAAAAUAUUCCUUUGUCUGAUUUAGUUUUGUGCCACCUUUUUGGCAUUGAAAUAACCUGGUGGAGCUUGUGACCUCCUGUGGGAACUACAGCCAGUACCGCCAGCGUAUCUCAGAGAGCACGGGCUUUCGCUUCCCCAUCCUGGGAGUGCACCUCAAGGACCUGAUAGCAGUGCACGUGACCCUGCCCGACUGAAGCGACUGCGAGAAGACCCAGGUCAACCUGGCCAAGACCCAUCAGCUGUAUUCAAUCCUCCAGGAGCUAGCGCUGAUCCAGACCACACCACCCAGUGUUGAUGCCACCAUGGACCUGCUCAACCUGCUCAUGGUUUGGCCCAGAUGACUGAUACUGAAUGACUUGAUAGAUUUGUUUUACCGUCAGUGUUUAACAAUUCCACCACUGAUGAAGACGGCUACAUCUCUCAGGAGGAAAUUGAGAUCAUUAGGACCAACUUCCCAUACCUCUGCAAGUUUGAUGACCUGGACAAGAGUCACCUGUGGGGUGAGCUGUCACAAAGACUGUCGCAGCCGCCUUGCUGUUGAGUGCUGCAAACCAACAAAGAGUGCCAGUCACGAUCCUUCAGUGUGCCUGAUAUGGUUUAGCCCCUACACAUUCUACAUCACAGAGCCAUUGCAGAGGAAGCACCUGACUCUCUGGAGGAUGAAGUGUUUGAUGUCCACCUUUGAGAACAGUCUCACUUCGUCGGGCGUGGACUCCACAGGGAUGCUGGCCCAUGUUGACUCCAAUGCUUCCCACACUUUUGUGAAGUUUACUGGAUGUCGUUUGGGUGGCGGACCAUUCUACACAUAGGAAACUGUUGAAUGUGAAAAACCCAGCAGCGUUGCAGUUCUUGAUACACUGAAACCAGUGCGCCAGGCACCUACUCCCUUACCCCGUUCAAAGAAUGAAGACCAACAUUGACGAGAACACAAACUUUUCCCAUGCUGCCAAGCUGAACUUAAAUGGGGACCGACAGCAAUGACACUCUGAAGAUAGAAAUGUAUUUGCUCCUGUUUGGAUAUACAAUGCACGCUAAGAACAUUGCAAUUUUCGGACUUUCUUAAGAAUGUCCACAUUUUCCCCAAAGUUUUAGAGCUAUUGAACCUGAGGAAGGAUUGUGUAACUAUAUGUUUACUUGCUAAUGAUAAUUUGAUGAUCCAGUCAAUACAUGUUGUGCUGAUUUGUGUAUUUGUUUUCUGAUGAAUUAAUCCUUCAUUCUCUCAGCCAUAGUAUUAUUUGCCCAGAGCUUUCACAGUAGGUAAACCUAGAGUAGAUGCAUAUCUCUGUAUGUGCUUGUAUACGGUUCAUGAUUGCUGAAGGUUGCUUCUCCGCAAGGUGGUGAGGUUUUGUGUCAACACUGGAUAGCAUAGGCUACCACUGGGAUUUAGCAUUCUGUAGUUCAUUCACAUUCCCUGUUUUUAGUGUAGCCCUAUGUUUGUGUAUAACAUGUGGGAGUGGAUUGUUGAUGACAAGUUAAAUUGAGGUUCUUUCCUCAGCUAGCCAACCAUGUUCAUGUUUGAUUACAUUGUAAUGUGGUACAAUUUAAAAG
rnacentral:lncRNA from 1 species